rnacentral:lncRNA from 1 species
CUGAAAGCACUUACCAGCAAUCCUUGUGUUUUUCCUGCCGGCUCCAGCCUGAGCUCAGCCAAGGUUGCCAUCUUGGACACAGCCAGUGAACUUAUCCUUUUAGGGUACUUGGGGCUUUCCUUCAGACCCAGCCUGUAGGGCAGUAGAUGCCCUUAUAGGACUGGGUGGGUGGCCCAGAAUGAACCCGUGUGUCUGGGAACCUGUGGUGGUGGCUGUGUGACAUCAUCGAGUGAGGGGGAAGGAGGGGUGUGGGCAGCUGGGCUGAGGAGGAAGAGGGUCCCCACCAGAAGUUGCUCCAGGAAAUGUUAUGGUUCUGUAGGUGUGACUACUGUCUAUGUCCCUUGGAUUUAUUGUUGUAUGUUUUGUUCUGAUAUAUUUAUAAAGCAUACUUUAACUUUCAAAACUGUCUGGGUUUAGACAAUCUGCUUCUGUGGUGGCCAAGAGGCAGCUGUGUUGCCUGGCUGAAUGUGCUGGCCUGGAGCUCAUUUCCCACCCCAACCCCCUUUCUGCCUUCUCCCGCCCACAUUCACUCCAGCUUUGGUGAGUGAGGGGAGGGGAGGACUAGAAAGGUGGGCCUAGUGUAGGAACCAGGAAAGCUCUGCAACCCCCCCCCCCGCCCGUCCCCAUCUUUUGCCACUGAAGUUCCUCUCUGAGCACACCUUAUGCAGGAGGAGCGGGAAGCAACUGGGCGUGUUGGUUAGCUUGAUACGCACUCGAGUCGUAAGAAGCAAGUCAGUGGAGAGAAAUGUAAGACUAGACUCAGUUUGACUCAAGCAGCAAGAAGAGGCAGAUUUUAUUACUGUAAGAGGUGGCAACUCCCCCCCCCCCCCCCCACACACACAAACCCUGUGGCAAGACAUCUAAGGGUACAGAGGUCUGAGGAUCAGUUCUGUAUCAGAAACUAAAGAAGGGUAAGGGCCUGGCUAAGCAAGGCCCAGGAAUUGCCUUUUGGGUAAACUGUUUUCUUGAACUGUGGGUGGGCAUUAAGUCAGGUGCCUGUUUUUAUGUGUUUGCUGCUUUCUGUAAUUCGUAGGCAAUAGAUUUCUUAAAGCUUGGGCCUAUUUUCUGGUGAUGAUUUGGGGAGGGGAUGCCCUUUAAAAGUUAUCUGGGGAAAGGGAACCUGAGAGAAGAACUGUGAUGGCGAAUGUACUGUGUAUGUUUAUCUUGUUGAUUGUUAAAUAAAAUACUGUUUGGCCAAUGAAAUGGCAAGUUAGGCAGGACCAGGAGUCAAAGAGGAUUCUGGGAAAUGUAGUAGAGAAGUGAUGAUCCAGACAGGAAAUGACAUAGCAAGGAGACUCAUAUUUAAGUGAAGGAGAAACAGGAAGGGUCCCUUUUUCCCCUCUGCUCCUGCAGCACAAUGUGAUCCACCAGCAAGGAGGGAUGCCAAUAAGGCAUCCGAUAAGCAGGCCCUACCUCCUAAAGUUCCUAGGACUUUCCAAAACGUCACCAUUGUUCGGGCACCAAGCAUUCAGCACAUCUUGUACUUGAACCAUGACAUCUUACCAAGGACAACUCCAAAGGAGCACCCUGAGAAGAUGAAAGGGAGAACAGUCAAGGAUCAAAAGCUUCCUUUCCACAUUCUUCCCCUGUCUUAAUAAAUGGAAUGAGAGCGAUUACCCAAAUACUAAUUAUUCACAUCCUCAUAGUUCCAAGGCCCAGUAACAAAAGUCAUAACUAUGCAAAAAGACGUUGUGUGAGCCCCCACCCUUAUCCAUCACUCCCCUCUCACCUACCACACGAAGCCCCUUUUGGACCAGUCUCCUGUCUAAUGAGUGUGGGGAUAUGGUAAACAUCUGGCAGAGUGAUGCAAACUAUUUCAAAGUCUACUUUCAGAUCUUCCAAAAAUCUAAUGGCAGGGCACUGAGGACAACUGGAGCUGGAGAAUUGCUCAUUCUGCUGAACGUAGUGGAAGCAUGCCAGGUCACCAUGGGAAAAACAAGAAAUUAAAGUAGAUAGUGACCCCAGGGAAGGGGAAACAAUGAAUGAACCAAACAAGAGACAUUGUCAGGGAAAUUUAUAGAGCUCCUGAAUACUUUGAGAUGCUCCUUCAGGGCUGGAGAGAGGGUUUAGUCAGUAGAGAGCUUGCCAUGUCAACAUGAGGACCUGAGCUUAGCUGGGCAGGUGUAAAACGUGGGCAGGUGACAUGUGUCUGUACCCCCAGCUCUAAGAAGGCAGAGACCGGUGAAUUCCUGUCGUCCCAGGUUUAAUGAGAUAACCUGUUUCAAAAAAUCAGAUGGAAGCGUUGGAGAGAUGCCUGAGAGGUUAAGAGUACUUGGUUUUGCAGAGGACACCUCAUGGUGGCUCAAACCAUCUAUAAAUCUGCUUCUAGAGGGUAAGAUGCCCUCUUGUGACCUCCGUGGGCUCCUGGCAUGCACAAGGUCCAUACACCUAUAGGCAAAAUACUUACACACAUUGAAAACAUUUGAGAAAAAUAAAAUGAGAGUGACUGAAGCAGACACUUGAAGAGGACUUUUGGUUUCCAUCUGCACAUACAUGUACACACACACACACAUGCUCAUCUGUAUACACACCAACAUACUAUACAUACAAAGUUAAUUAGUUGAAAGAAAACAAAAUGCCCUGUUUGCACUGUUGACUGGAAAAGUGAAGACUGUAAUGCUGUUACACAGUCAUUUGAUUAAAAAAUUUCCAAAGCAAAUGAUGUAUUUCUUUGCUCAAACUAAGAAUGAAUGCAUGUUUAUAAUUAUAAUUUUUA